UACGUAGGUGGCAAGCGUUGUCCGGAUUUACUGGGUGUAAAGGGCGCGUAGGCGGGUCUGCAAGUCAGUCGUGAAAUACCGGGGCUUAACUCCGGGGCUGCGAUUGAAACUGCAGAUCUUGAGUAUCGGAGAGGAAAGCGGAAUUCCUAGUGUAGCGGUGAAAUGCGUAGAUAUUAGGAGGAACACCAGUGGCGAAGGCGGCUUUCUGGACGACAACUGACGCUGAGGCGCGAAAGUGUGGGGAGCAAACAGG
rnacentral:rRNA from 1 species